GAUGAAUUGGAAAAUCAUUUUGAGGAAAAUCUCUUUGAUGGGUAUAUUUGAUUCCUAGUUAACAAACUACCUACUAGCAUUCCUGUGUAUAUGGCUCCCAGAUAUCUAACAGCAUUGAAAUGAAAUGAAACUGCUUUGUGCAAAGAUGUGCUUUACAGAAGAUAAAGACUGCCAGGUAGAAAUGGAGCAUAUGAGUCACUGCACUCUUGGCAAUCGAAAGGAAAUUAUGUCCCUUAUACUGCACAUUGCUAAUCCUGUCUUACAUCUACUGAGCGUGCACAGUGUGUCCAGACAAUCUGCUAAGGGCUUUAUGAAGACUACCACAAUGUCCUUGGAGGCCUGGAACCACCAUAGAUGAGAGAGGCCAACAAAGGAUGAGGGUGACACACAGAGAAGAGGAGAGCUAAGAGAAUAAUCAACGCAGCAGAGGACUGACAGAACAGAACCCGAGACCCUCUCUAUUCUGGACUUCUCCAUUAACUAAGCCAGUGAAUUGGUGGGUCACUGAAGGAUGUUGGUGUGGGGAGCCUCACUGAAGUAGCCGUGCAGCCUUCGGUGGAUAGACUAUUAUUUGACCGGGCCUUCAUUGUUGGACUAUAAGCUUGUUUCUGUUGUUGCUUCCUUUUUUGUUAUUAAACUACUGCAAUAAAAAUUGUUGUACAGCUUUUUUGCAUAUGGAAAUAUUUGUAGAAAAACUGAUGGGAAGUGGAAUUGCUGGGCUGAAGGGUAUGCAUAGUUUUAUUUUCAUAGAAACUGCCAAAUCAUACUCUCAAAGGACAAACCACCACUAAGAGAGUCUGAGGGUGCUCAGCGGUGAGAUAACACACAGACUGAGCAGUGUCUGCAGGUCAGUGCAGAGUCAGCCAUCAGCCUGAGGUGCUGAAGUAGGGUCCAGGGGGUCCCUGCUGAGCCAGAUGGUGGUCUUUUUUUUCUUUUUUUUGAGACGGAGUCUCACUGUGUCGCCCAGACUGGAGUGCAGUGGCACGAUCUCAGCUCGCUGCAAACUCCGCCUCCUGGGUUCACGCCAUUCUCCUGCCUCAGCCUCCCGAGUAGCUGGGACUACAGGUGCCCGCCACCACGCCUGGCUAAUUUUUUGUAUUUUUAGUAGAGACGGGGUUUCACCAUGUUAGCCAGGAUGGUCUCGAUCUCCUGACCUUGUGAUCCACCCGCCUCGGCUUCCCAAAGUGCUGGGAUUACGGAUGUGAGCCACCGCGCCCAGCUCCCAGGUGUUAGUCUUCAAUAGCUGGAGGGUGAGGAGUCAGGGGUCCCAAGGGAGAGACCAAGGUGGCUGGGUCAGCAGAACACACUGUGAGAGUUUGGGGCAGUAGCUGUUUACCAGCUGUCAUGGAAGCACUUCAAUGCAUUGAUCUACUUGCCUCUUCC
rnacentral:lncRNA from 1 species